AUGGGGUCCGGGGCUCCUUUGCUGUGGAUCCUCCUGCUCUGGGCUUCAGGCUGCAAUGGGGACAUUGUGCUGACCCAGUCUCCAGUCUCCUUGGCCGUGUCUCCAGGACAGAUGGCCACCAUCACCUGCCGAGCCAGUGAGAGUGUCAGUGUCUUAGGAAUGACUAACUUAAUUCACUGGUAUCAGCAGAAACCAGGACAACCUCCUAAACUCCUGAUUUACCAAGCAUCCAAUAAAGACACUGGGGUCCCAGCCAGGUUCAGUGGCAGUGGGUCUGGGACCGAUUUCACCCUCACAAUUAAUCCUGUGGAAGCUGAUGAUGCUGCAAAUGAUUACUGUCUGCAGAGUAAGAAUUUUCCUCCCACAGUGCUUUAG